rnacentral:rRNA from 1 species
CAGCCGCCGCGGGAAUACGAAGGGUGCAAGCGUUACUCGGAAUUACUGGGCGUAAAGCGUGCGCAGGCGGUUAUAUAAGACAGAUGUGAAAUCCCCGGGCUCAACCUGGGAACUGCAUUUGUGACUGUAUAGCUAGAGUACGGCAGAGGGGGAUGGAAUUCCGCGUGUAGCAGUGAAAUGCGUAGAUAUGCGGAGGAACACCGAUGGCGAAGGCAAUCCCCUGGGCCUGUACUGACGCUCAUGCACGAAAGCGUGGGGAGCAAACAGGAUUAGAUACCCGUGUAGUCCCUGUCUCUUAUAC